GGGCCAUGGAGAGUAAACUGGGAACUGUGCUGGGGAUUCUGUGGGUGCAGAUUUGCUGGGUGCGAGGAGUUGAUGUGGAGCACAGUCCUUCAGACCUGAGUCUCCACGAGGGAACCAGUUCUGCCCUGAGAUGCAAUUUUUCUACCACCAUCGUGAGUGUGCAGUGGUUCCGACAGAAUCCCAGGGGCAGCCUGAUCAGACUGUUUUACCUGACUCCUGGAACAAAGGAGAAUGGAAGGCUAACAUCAACAUUCAACUCCAUGGAGCGCUACAGCACCCUGCAUAUAGAGGAUGCCCAGCUGGAGGACUCAGGCACCUACCUCUGUGCAGUGGAGGCACAGUGCUUUCUACAAGUCUUCAGCCUGGUCCCAAACUGCAGCUGGGUGUGCAGCUGCAGCCCUGACAUGGGGAGACUCAACAGGAGGCUUUUCACAGCGGUGGCUUUAUCAGAUCCUCACCAAUUACGAAGAAAUUGUGAGGAAACAAAAUGA